rnacentral:rRNA from 1 species
AAAUUGAAGAGUUUGAUCAUGGCUCAGAUUGAACGCUGGCGGCAGGCCUAACACAUGCAAGUCGAACGGUAACAGGAAGCAGCUUGCUGCUUCGCUGACGAGUGGCGGACGGGUGAGUAAUGUCUGGGAAACUGCCUGAUGGAGGGGGAUAACUACUGGAAACGGUAGCUAAUACCGCAUAAUGUCGCAAGACCAAAGAGGGGGACCUUCGGGCCUCUUGCCAUCGGAUGUGCCCAGAUGGGAUUAGCUUGUUGGUGGGGUAACGGCUCACCAAGGCGACGAUCCCUAGCUGGUCUGA